UGUGCGCGCCGCACAUGGUGUCAAAGCAUCUGAAUCCAUGCUGUUGCUGGUCAAGUGGAGCUGGGGCUCUAGGAACAGGCUCCUAUGCACCGCAUGACCUUGUUCCCAACAGCAGCUCUGACAGUGUGGAAACAACUACUCGACGCCUCCACAACACACCUGUAGCUGCCACAACUGUGGGAAAGCACACAGAAUCAGCAAUCACGCACCAAUCAGGUUGAAGUCAGGAGGUGAAGAACCUGAAGCAAGGCGCAGCCCUGAUGAAAUGCUGACAACCAGAGCCGAGUGUGGGUGCUCCUGCUUUAAAUACGAGACUAUUAAACGGCAUAGGGUCGUAUCCUUCUGCAAGGACACAGCUCUGGAGAAAACAGAAGUUCUGAGUUGCGUUCAACAUCCUCUGAACAGAAACUUUCCGAGAGGACCAAAAGAGCAGCCCUGCACUGCAAGGUGACUUUCGAGCUGCCUCGGAGGAACCCAGUGCCUUCUAGGCCUUCCAGGGCUGCAUUUUAACCAAGAGCCCCAAAGAGGUAGCUCCAAGCAAGGCUAAGGCCACGGGAGUCCCCGUGCCCCCACGCUACCUGAGCACCAGACCCAAAGAACGAAAGCAGAAUCUCCAGAGAAACUUCUCACUUCCUGUCACUCACUGCUGAGGGAGGCUGGACUGGCUCCUCCGCUCACGUUUUCAGAGAAGCUGUAAACACAACCUUUCAGCUUGCCAGCGGGCCACUGGGGCGGGUUGGGGGAGGGGGGGCUGGUGGCGGGGCUU